AGCAUAACAAAUUAUGGAAACCUAAACACGAACAACGAACAGAUCAAGACAAUAUGGAAUCAAAGCAAGACAUAAUCAAACAAAUCAUCAAGACAGUGAAUGAAAAAUGACGAAAAACUCAUGAAUCAACACAAACGCGAAUCAAAUGAAACAACUCAUGAAUCAAGAAAGAGACGUGAAUCAAAAUCAUAUGGAACUCAAUACGAACAUUGCACAAACAGAACACGAAUCAACUCAAGUCAGAGAGAAAGAAGAUACUUAGCUCAAGCGGACGCAACACAAACAAGUAUAGGGCAAAAUCCAUCGGAAACAAGUUUGAGAGGCGGAGAAGUGAUUUUAAUCGGUGGAAUGGGAGAUUUCACCAAUUGAAUCGGUGAAAUGGAACAUAUCUCGACUUUAAACAGUGAAAAUGAAGGAUAGGGCAAAAUCCAUUGGUCAAGGUGAGAUUUGGUGAGGAGAAGAUGGAUUUGUGAAGUUGACGUGGUGUGUAGUUGUGGAUAUGUGAAGCUGACGCUCGCGAGGAGAGAUUCGCGAAGGAAACCCUAAGCGGAAAGGUCUAUGGCUUCAAAUGAGGCUGAUGAACGAAAUGCGAAAAUGAUAAGUAUGACGCUGCAAGGAAAGCGCUGGUGUGGCAGUGAUAGGUAGAGCCACGCGCCUGAAGUGGAUUGACGUACGGUGGUGAUUAGGUGGAGGAGUGAGAAAAUAUGAUAAUGAAGAAUGAGAAGAAUGACAAAGGGAAUGGAAGGUGGAUGAAGGAAUCCCUUAGAUUCUUCAGCCUUGACUUUCAAGGAAUUAAUUCUGGAGUUCUCUCAACAAAAAAUUAAUUCAAUAUCUCAAAAGUAAUUACAAAAGGAGUGGACAUGCCUUUAUAUAGGACUACAAGUCCCACAUGCCUUACACAUAUUAUACAUGCAUAAGAGAAAUGCUAAACUAAGGAAAUUGGGCUUGGGCCCUAGUCAUCUUCCCAUAGAAGAAGAAUGGUGGGUGAUGCCUCUUCUUCUUGAAUUCUCUUUGCCAUGGCUCUAGUAAGAGCUCCAAAGUGAUUCCUUGAUGGUCUUCCAUCAGACCCUUGCUCUUGAAAAGGAU
rnacentral:lncRNA from 1 species